rnacentral:lncRNA from 1 species
CUUCCUUAAACAUGCUAAAGGGUAGGAAAAUAUAUCAUUAAAGGUUAAGGUGCAAUAUUAACAAAAAUUUCUUGGCCCAAAGGGAUAUAAAAAAAAUGGAAUUCUAAUAUAAAGGUUGGCUUUUUGGCCCUGGCUCCUAAUUAACACAAACAAAUGCCUCAAUCAUCUUCAUGCUCUUUUAUGAUGCAACAAAAAUAAAAAUUAAGCAACCACAACUGUCAAUUCAUCAGUAAAA